rnacentral:lncRNA from 1 species
AUGAGGGUGAAAUCCAUUAAAACUGGCAGAAAAGUUGGCUGCAUUUCUGUAGAGUCAAUGAAAUCAAAUAGAAAUAUGAAGCUGAGAAAAAGGAAGGAAUGUGUGCGGCUGUGUGAAGUAGAGUCCAGCUCAGCCAUUGCAAAGUGGAAUGAGGACCUUGCCUGCCUGUCAGAAAAGGUGCAAAAGAUGGUCCAGAAUGUUGAUUUCAUGCUAACUUUAAUGGUUAUUACUGAACUCCACUGCUGUGAAAUCAGGGUAGACCGAGGCUGGGCUUCUUAA